AAAUUGAAGAGUUUGAUCAUGGCUCAGAUUGAACGCUGGCGGCAGGCCUAACACAUGCAAGUCGAACGGUAACAGGAAGCAGCUUGCUGUUUCGCUGACGAGUGGCGGACGGGUGAGUAAUGUCUGGGAAACUGCCUGAUGGAGGGGGAUAACUACUGGAAACGGUGGCUAAUACCGCAUAACGUCGCAAGACCAAAGAGGGGGACCUUCGGGCCUCUUGCCAUCAGAUGUGCCCAGAUGGGAUUAGCUAGUUGGUGAGGUAACGGCUCACCAAGGCGACGAUCCCUAGCUGGUCUGAGAGGAUGACCAGCCACACUGGAACUGAGACACGGUCCAGACUCCUACGGGAGGCAGCAGUGGGGAAUAUUGCACAAUGGGCGCAAGCCUGAUGCAGCCAUGCCGCGUGUAUGAAGAAGGCCUUCGGGUUGUAAAGUACUUUCAGCGGGGAGGAAGGUGUUGUGGUUAAUAACCGCAGCAAUUGACGUUACCC
rnacentral:rRNA from 2 species